rnacentral:rRNA from 1 species
AAGUGUCUGCCUUAUCAACUGUCCAUGGUAGUUUAUGUGCCUACGAUGGUUGUAACGGGUAACGGAGAAUAAGGGUUCGACUCCGGAGAGGGAGCCUGAGAAACGGCUACCACAUCCAAGCAAGGCAGCAGGCGCGCAAAUUACCCACUCUCGGCAUGAGCAGGUAGUGACGAAAAAUAACGAGACCGUUCUCUAUGAGGCCGGUUAUCGGAAUGGGUACAAUUUAAACCCGUUAACGAGCAUCUAUGAGAGGGCAAGUCUGGUGCCAGCAGCCGCGGUAAUUCCAGCUCUCAAACUGUAUAUCGUCAUUGCUGCGGUUAAAAAGCUCGUAGUUGGAUCUGCGCCUCAGGACUCGGUCCGCCCAUUGGGUGAGAACUGGGCUCCUGGGCUAGUUUUGCUGGUUUUCCCUACGAUGCCUUCAUCGGUAGCAUAGGGUGGCUAGCGAGUUUACUUUGAAAAAAUUAGAGUGCUUCACGCGGCCUUAUGUCUGAAUACUCGUGCAAGGAAUAAUAGAAUAGGAUCUCGGCUCUAUUUUGUUGCUUUUCUGAUCUGAGAUAAUGGUAAAGAGGGACGGACGGGGGCAUUCGUAUCGCUGCGUGAGAGGUGUAUUUCUUGGACCGUAGCGAGACGUCCGACUGCGAAAGCAUUUGCCUAGAAUGUCUUCAUUAAUCAAGAACGAAAGUCAGAGGUUCGAAGGCGAACAGAUACC